rnacentral:rRNA from 1 species
UACGAAGGGGGCUAGCGUUGUUCGGAAUUACUGGGCGUAAAGCGCGCGCAGGCGGCUAUCCAAGUCAGUGGUGAAAGCCCGGAGCUCAACUCCGGAACUGCCAUUGAAACUGUUUAGCUUGAGGAUGAGAGAGGUGAGUGGAAUUCCCAGUGUAGAGGUGAAAUUCGUAGAUAUUGGGAAGAACACCGGUGGCGAAGGCGACUCUUUGGUCUGUAACUGACGCUGAGGCGCGAAAGCGUGGGGAGCAAACAGG